rnacentral:misc_RNA from 1 species
CAUUUAUACUGAAGCUUAACAAAAUCUUCUCUCUUUUUCGUUGCUCGUUCUGAGAUUUGGACGUGAGGCUGAUGCCAAAACAAGUUUUAUAUUUUAUGCAUUAAAAUUUUUUUUUUACAUUAGUUAGUCUUGUAGAAACCUUCCCUCAUCUUUUGAUUAAAGAUUAAUUUGUAUAAGGGACAUUGGCUAGCUAGCAUUGGAGGCUGA